ensembl:lncRNA
CUGAUCAAACUGUCACACCUGAACGUGGACAUGAUGUUACUCUGCCUUGUAAAAAUGUGAUACAAGGUCAGCAUAACUGUAGCAGUACUACCUGGAUCUUCAGUGAUUCAAGCAGCACAGUAUCACUCUUUGAACUUGGGCAGAUUAAAGAAGCCAAACCUAAAUCAGACAGACUGAGUCUUUCUGCAGACUGUUCUCUGGAUAUAAAGAAGGUCACAGAUCAGGAUGUUGGUCGUUACACCUGCAGACAGUUCAAAACAGCAACAGGAUCACAAGAAGGUCCAGACUUUAUGAUUGAUCUGUCUGUUAUUAACAGCGAAGAUGUGAAAACAACUAAAUCAACAACAGUGAAAUCCAGCACAAGAAAUUCAACAACAAGAAAAUCCACAACAUCAACAAUUAAACCAACAUUAAAAAUCACAAACUUAUGGACAAAAAAUGAGGAAUUAAAGACAUCAGAAGGUGUAUAACGAUGAAGAUGAAUGUACAGUGAACUAUGAAAACACUGGAGACUCUUCUGCUUCUGUCAGACUCCACUGAUCAAGAUCUUCAACAUCAACUGAUCACAGAAAUGAAUCCACUGAUGUUUAAAACAUUUACAUUUUGAUUUUAUCUCAUAUUUAGAAUCCAAAACCUUUUUCAUGUGCAGUUAUUUAGCUAGUUAAAAAUAACUCAAACUCUGUGUCUGAAACAGUUUGUCCAGUUAGUUACGUAAAGAAAAGACUUUCAGACUGAGAAUGUUGCAGUCAGAAGGUUGACUGAGAAGUCGAGUUGACAAAGGAAACUGCUUCAGCCAUGAAAGGGGGAGGCCAGCAUAAUCAGAAUAACAGCUUCUUCUUUGGUGUUUACAUUUAUUUUUUAUAUAUUUGAUUGUUACACUUUAUCUUUAUUUGUGACACAGUAACCAACGUUAUAUUCAAUGUUAUAACUUUUAUGUUAUCUAUAACUUUUGUCACAACCUGGCUCAAAGGAUGUGGCAAGUAGGUGGGAGACCACACAGGCUUUUAAAGGCUGUAAGAUAUUUUAAUUAAAUAAAGUAAAGAAACUCAAACACAGAUUAAAUGGUACAACAUCCAUAACCAAACCUAACCAAGGGAGCAUAAUGAGCCACAGACGGAGGAGGCCAGAGGUUCAGUCAAAGUGACUUUAUAAUGCGCAUGGAUGGCCCUCUCAGGUUUGCUGCAUCUAUAAUUGGGUCAGCUCCACCUACCAGAUACCUGAAAGGCAACAAGACAACAAGGCCAGCCCACUGGGUGUCACACACUUUUUUUGGCUGCAUGACAUAAAGAUUGAUUAUAUUGUUUGUUUUCUUGCUCUGUUUCUCUCUGAAUCCUCACACACCUGAACCGUAAUAGACUAGAAGCUACUCUUAAUUAUUCUCUUCAGUUUGACUUGCUGUACUUUCAUCUUCAGUAUUAAACCUUUACUCUUAAGCAGCUCCGUUU